UCUCCGUUGGUGAACCAGCGGAGGGAUCAUUACAGAGUUACCUAACUCCCAAACCAUUGUGAACUUACCAUAUGUUGCCUCGGCAGAACCUACCCUGUAGCGGGCUGCCGGCGGACCUCUAAACUCUUGUUAUACUAUUGUAAUCUGAGCGUCUUAUUUUAAUAAGUCAAAACUUUCAACAACGGAUCUCUUGGUUCUGGCAUCGAUGAAGAACGCAGC
rnacentral:misc_RNA from 1 species